rnacentral:rRNA from 1 species
GACGUAGGGCGCGAGCGUUGUCCGGAUUUAUUGGGCGUAAAGAGCUCGUAGGCGGCUCGUUGCGUCGGCUGUGAAAACCCGCAGCUCAACUGUGGGCUUGCAGCCGAUACGGGCGGGCUAGGAUUCGGUAGGGGAGACUGGAAUUCCUGGUGUAGCGGUGAAAUGCGCAGAUAUCAGGAGGAACACCGGUGGUGUAGACGGCUCUCUGGACCGCAACUGACGCUGAAACACGAAAGCGUGGGUAGCAAACAGG